UUUCAAAAGUUGAAUUAAAACACGUGUAACUGAACUUCCGUCUGUAUCUGUAUCGUUUAUCGUUGGCUAUGAUUACUCUUUGUAUAUAUAUACACAUUAAAUUCCCGUCUAUAUUCUUCCUGUUCAACUUUUCACCUACAACGGUGGCCCGCCCGCCAGUCCAUAGCGCAAAGGUUGUCCAUUGUCCGUCUUUUUGGUUUUUAGUCUUUGUUUUUUCCUAUGUUUACUUAAUAUUAUGGUGAUAAGGAUAAAAACACGACUAGUAUUGCUGCAUUCAGAAGUGUUUUUUGUUCGCAAUAACUUACAGUAUCCUUGUAUAUAAACUGAAUAAUCUCCUACAAGUAUCUGAUGUAUCCUAAAUUCCCAAUUACACACCUACAAUUGCAGUUACACAAAUGGAUAGUGUAAAAUAUACCCGGGGCUUUUUAAAAAAUUUACGUCAUCGUAUCAAUCUUUUUCAUUAAGUUGUCAUCUUUUUCGGAAUUAAACGGAUGAAAUAAUUUCACCAAUAAUGUAGGCAUUUUACUGUAAAAUUAUGCAAAUUACAAACUUUAACAACAGAAUACAUUUUAUAAUAAAAUAUGUAAAAUAAAAUUCGUU